rnacentral:tRNA from 1 species
GCCUGGCUUACUCAGUCGGUAGAGCUUGGGACUCUUAAUCACAGGGUCGUGGGGUCGAGCCCUACGUUGGGUG